AUUGAACGCUAGCGGGAUGCCUUACACAUGCAAGUCGAACGGAGUGGCGAACGGGUGAGUAAUGUAUCGGAACGUGCCCAGUAGCGGGGGAUAACUACGCGAAAGCGUAGCUAAUACCGCAUACUAUUGGAACUGACGAUAUCGGAUUAGCUAGGUGGGGGAGUAACGGCACACCAAGGCGACGAUACGUAGGUGGUUUGAGAGGACGACCAGCCACACUGGGACUGAGACACGGCCCAGACUCCUACGGGAGGCAGCAGUGGGGAAUUUUGGACAAUGGGGGAAACCCUGAUCCAGCCAUCCCGCGUGUGCGAUGAAGGCCUUCGGGUUGUAAAGCACUUUUGGCAGGAAAGCGGUACCUGCAGAAUAAGCACCGGCUAACUACGUGCCAGCAGCCGCGGUAAUUC
rnacentral:rRNA from 1 species